AGCGUUCACAUCUAAAGCCAAAUGAUGUAUUGUUGUAGGGCAUUAAGAGGGUAGUUGUUGUGAACUUCUGAGUGUCAGAAGUGUGCUACAUUAACAGGCAGGAUUUUUGCUAACACCAGUAGAGCUUGCCUUGAUGACUGGAGUUUGAUAAUACUCAGUGCCACAUGU
ensembl:snoRNA SNORA62 Small nucleolar RNA SNORA62/SNORA6 family